rnacentral:rRNA from 1 species
UGGGGAAUCUUGCGCAAUGGUCGGAAGACUGACGCAGCGACGCCGCGUGUGGGAGGACGCCUUUCGGGGUGUAAACCACUGUUGCCCGGGACGAACUGCUUCUUUCGAGAAGCUUGACGGUACCGGGUGAGGAAGCACCGGCUAACUCCGUGCCAGCAGCCGCGGUAAUACGGAGGGUGCGAGCGUUGUCCGGAAUCAUUGGGCGUAAAGGGCGCGUAGGUGGCCCGGUCAGUCUUUGGUGAAAGCGCGGGGCUCAACCCUGCGUCGGCCAGGGAUACUGCCGCGGCUGGAGCACUGUAGAGGCAGGCGGAAUUCCGGGUGUAGCGGUGGAAUGCGUAGAGAUCCGGAAGAACACCGGUGGCGAAGGCGGCCUGCUGGGCAGUUGCUGACACUGAGGCGCGACAGCGUGGGGAGCAAAACA